UUUGACGUCUAAUUCCCGUUUGUGUAGUCGUCAUUUUGACGAUGCCGACAUUGUGAAGGGUAGGACAAUUGGAGGAACUUUUUUUCGCAUUUCAACGUUGGAACUUGAAAAGUGAUGCAAAGCCCAAGCAUUUACUGAACCUUGAUCAACCAGUGCCAACCCGAGGACUGAAGAGUUUUAGACAGCCAUUUCAAGAGAGGCCCAACGAUAACCACAAAGGGAAAACCCUGGUCCAUCGGAACAAUGUAAAACAGGGACUACAGACCAAGACCUUUUAUCAAUGUGGGCCUCGAGCACUAAAGAAAGAAGUUGGGCAUGCUGGUGGCGGCAGUUGGUCUUGUCUAUCGUUGCAAAGAAAAGAUAAAGAAACGGUUUCAUCAACGUCUUUUCUUGUUCCUCGCAAGAUUCAAAAUAUUUAUUUUUUUACAAUAACUAACGGUCGUAACGAAGGAAAAUUCAAAAAAGAAAGAAGGAGACGUAAGAAAACAUGCUAAUAAAUAACACUGGACGUAGAGGUGCAUAUUGCAUUGCAUGCAACUGUCUCAUUAAGAAACGAAAAAAAGAUAAAUAAAUCUCGCCUGUGUGAUCAGCCCGGUGGCAUUUGACCAAAUGUCGGUUAGAAUUUUUCCGCAUUUUUCGUUCAGGGUUCCUUGUUUGCUACAAGUUAAGUGACAUAAGUCACUUUUCCAUCAACUUUCUGUACCUGUUAAGUGUUUGUAAUUCACAGAUAAAGCUUUAAACUAAUUUAAGCCUGUGCCGUAUGCUCUUUUUACGAAUGUAUUUGAAAACAAAAUUUAAAACACAUUUGAACAAUA